rnacentral:tRNA from 1 species
GUCAGGAUGGCCGAGCGGUCUAAGGCGCUGCGUUCAGGUCGCAGUCCGGUCUUCCGGGCGUGGGUUCAAAUCCCACUUCUGACA